CUUCCUCCCCCAGCACCCUCACUACACCGCUGCAGAGCUCCUCGGACACGCUCCCUUUCUGGCAGCACACAUAUUCUCUUGUGGUUCCAUUUUUUACACAGGCUGUUUCUAGAGAAUCCUCAUACUCUGUAAAGCUGGGGGACAUUUCCGAAGAUGAUUAGAUUGUAAGGGUUCUGACCUAACAAAUUCAAUCCACUGACGAAUCCGAAUUUUGGAUGGACACCUGGAAGGCGGUGGAAAAUGGAAGAGACACAAAGUUGGAGAAAGUAAAUCUUUGGGGGGCCUGCGCUGAACGCACACCUGGUCCAGGCCUCUUACUGUGCUUUCCUUUGCUUCCUGGCUACUGUAAGGACCAAUGAACGGAACAUAGCAUGGUGCCCUGGGACAUCAAAUAGAUCAACCAAGCUCUUCUCAGCUGACCGAACACAGGGACCCUGGAAUCCAGGACGUUUAGAGCUAAAACUGCCUCCUUGUCGUCUGCAGCUCAGAGACAUCCCUUCUAGCCAAUGUGCUGGAAGCCAGUGGUCAGGGCACCAGUUCUAGAACCCUCUGAAAGAGCUCUGCAUGUUCUCUAUCUAAGUGCUGACACAUAAAGGACAAGGAGGAAAUCGAUUCCGGGAAACGAGCCUCUGUGGUCCUUCACUGCACAUCAUCUCUACUCCUCUGAUAGCUCUGACAUUGGUGUGAACAUUGUGCUAUGCCUAGCAUUUCAGGCUUCUAGAACUAUAUUAGAUGGGUUUGGAGAACUAUUCCAUAACUCACAGAAGCAACAAAAACUACAGGGAAGAACUCAUGAAGCCUCCUUGGGGAAAAGACUUGUGACCACAGGAUGAUUGCACGUAUCCCAUGCCAAUGAGAUCUGUUUCUCAUUUCGUGUUCCAAACAUGUGUAAAGACCACAGCUUGCUGGUAAUGUCUCAGGAAGGAACCUUGACAAGUCCAGAAUCACUGUAUGCAAGAUCCCCAUGAAGAGGAAAGGGUGAGCUUGAGCACGCUCUGCUGUAGUUCCAGAUUCGGAUGUUCUGAAAUCUUAGACGUCGUCCUCAACAGACUGAAUACAGCUUUCUGAGAGACAGAUUUUGGUUUCGUUGGGUUUUUGUCGUUGGUGAGUGAGUGUGUGGUGUGUGUGUGUGUGUGUGUGUGUGUGUGUGUGUGUGUGUGUGUGUGUGGUGUGUGUGUGUGUGUGUGUGUGUGUGUGUGUGUGUGUGUGUGUGGUGUGUAUCCUGGAUGUUCCGCGGAACCUGCUCUGGAGACAAGACUGGCCUCCAACUCAACUCUGCCUCCCGCAUGCUGGGAUUAAAGGCGCGUGCCCACUGCCCCACCCCCUGCCUGCCUAAGAAUGGCUUUUCAACAAAGCUGUUCGUCCUUUCCAGUGGCCACUGUUCCACAGUUCAAGUCCCAUAAUUCAAGCCCCACAGUUCAAGAGCGUUGUUUAGUCCGCAGUAGGGAAGGCAAAGAAGUCAGCAAAAUCCCACCUAAGGGCGCCCAGCCGUAGGAACACCUCCAACGCAUGACUGAUGAAAAGGUGGAUAAGGAAAACCGGUCGGUGCUAUCAUCCGCAGCACCCACUCCUUCGGGCUCAGCUACCAACAGUUCUUCAACAGAGACGUUUCAGAAAGCCACUGUGCCGUUGCCCUGCACCAUAAACUCAGGAGACGCCCCCUUCCUUCCCUUAUCUCCUGCAGCCUCGCCUCUGAGCAGCUAUGGCUCCGCGAACAUCAUGGAUACACUCAGAAGAGCGAUAACGCACGGGCUCUCGUUCUCAGUGAUAACCACGGCCCGUUCCGCUUUCUGUUCUCAUGCUCAACCAAAUAGCCUCCAGCCUGGGAGAUGUAUCAGUUUAUUACAGGCCCUAACUUUGAAACUUACAAAUAUGAGUCAAACCAGAGGGACUGAGAAACAAAGGAACACUGUGUAAACCCAGCAAGCCUGAGUUAAAAUAUAUAUAUUCAAUAUUUAAUAAAUAAAUUAUAUUUAUAUAUUUAAUAUAUAUCUUUUGACCAAAUUAGCAACAGACAUUUCAUCUCCCAGAUCAGUGCGUUCAUUUACUUCAGGACUGGCUUACAGUGCACCUCUGUCAUCUACUGACCCUCUCCACACACUACUACACACCGCUGUGUAUGUCUGGCACCACCAGAGAGCAGGCAUUGAACUAUGUAUGAGCCAGAAGCAGACCGCCGUAGCUGGCUCCAGCCACUUCCGUCAUUGAUAUCCUUGGGCAAUUUCUCUGAAACUCUGAACGCAAUUUUCUGCACGAGGUUGCUACGAUGCCAGAGACAGGUGAAGCUAAGAAAGCUUCCGGGUCUAACCAAUGCAUGAGCACACACCUAAUUUUGAAUUCCAAUUUCGUGUCCUUUUCUUAAGGGAAAGUCCCCAAUUUUAAUAAGCUUGAAGGCCCAGAAAACAUGAUUCUGUCUCCUAAUAACACCUGUUCUAUUUCAUUCUGGGAGCCAGGAUAGAAACAGCCUCUCUUUGGCUCCAACGUUGCUCUGUAGCCCGUGCUGAUACCAUGUAAUAGGUGAGCCUUAUUGGUGUCCCUGUAAGCCCCUUGAAGUACGUGAGCCCCCACCCCAGGGCUCAACUGCCAGGUUCUACUCACAGAACACUCCAACUGCCCUAACGGCUGGACCCAGCCCCUGCCCUACAGAGUAAAAAACCCAAACUCAGGAUUUGACAUUCCAUCCAUCCAGGAGCUCAUCCCAAGCCCUAGACUUGAAACCCCACCAUUCCCCACCUUGGAGAUCUCCACCCUAGAAAGCCCCUACCCUCAAGAAAUCCUAUAUAAGCCCUGCCUGCUACUCAGCUCUCUGCUGGUUCUCACCCGAGCAGAGGCAGCCACCCUCCUGGGUGUGGCUUUGUGGUAGUCCUUGGUUCUCGACUGCCAUCGACCUUUCCCCGAAGAGCAGUGGCACUCUCAAUCCCCCUUGAGUGUCUGCAAAGAGCUCACACUUGGUUCCUUCUCUAGACAACUGACCUUGGCUACACAGUAGACCUUGUCUUAAAGUUUACACUACAACCCCCACUGAAGACAGUUAUCCAGUCUGGUGUUGGGGGUGGCCCUCUGUACAAAAUGCCACCAGAGGACCAACACAGUGAUACUCAGACCAAAGCUAGGCUCCCUCUGCAGUCAUAGCCAUGCACAGCUCCUCCCCCUGUCCAAUCUUCUUCCCCCUUCUUCCCACAUGUCCCCCUCAGACAACGUGCCUGGAUUCCUACCCGGGACAGCUUUUGGAGAAUCCAAUCUCAGACAGAACGUGAUCAGAUCAGAAGAAAUCGGCUACUUUCUGUAUCGAAGGUUGCCUAGGCCACUCUUCAGUCAAAUGCCAUGAGCCUCAAAUACCACUCACAGCCAAUGUUAACACAGAAGCAAAUCAAAGCUUCGCCAGCAAGCCGUGAAGAUGCAAAUCCAAGCCUGGGGUAUCGUUCAAGGAAGCAAAGAGCAGACAGGUCUCGGUAGCGUAGGCUAGCCCCUGCCUGUGGAAUGGACUAUGUGUCGAAGAUGAUCUUGAACCUCUUGUUCUCCUGCCUCAGCCUCUCGUAUACUGAGUUCCAAGCACAUGACGGCAUGACCAGGGAGUCAAAGUUCUUUCCUGAAGUCUCCCUCUUUCCUUUCUCGUUUCAGCUCAACUCCUUCCUCGUGGUUCUGCUAGGCGACCAGGCUAUGAGGACCGAUGAUGUCUGCGUCCCUCCCCACUCCAUAAUAACGAGGACCAACAAGGAACUGUUUGCCUUCCCCUCUUUUGGCAGAACCCGAUUCAAGCAUCCCAUUCAAAUGCCCAAAAUCCUCAAGUAGGGUUAAGGGUUCUUAAUGAAGUCUCUGGCCUCCUGCCAGAGGGAGUUGGAGAAAGGCAACCCACGAUGACAGGGCUAAUGAGUACAUUUUCAAGCAGAAAUCACUGCAUCCUUGCAAUCACGGCAGCAGUGGAAAAGUCAAAAUUGAAUUACUCUCUGUACUCAGAAGGCAGUAGGCCCAGCCCCAGGGCACUGCUGCCUGGCCCUGGUCAUGAUGCAAUUAUCCAGCUGACCUCCGAAGUCAGUGGGUGCAGGUCUUUUGAGCAAGCAGCUGACACUCUUAGCUUGGCCUCCUGGGACUAUACCAAGGCCAAUUAACCAGAGGUCGCCUGAGUUUGACAAGGAUGGUUGGCCAAUACUAAGUCCACGGUAGACUGCUGUGGACUCACUGGCCAUGAGCUGGAACAUGGUGAUCAAAAGGCUCAGAGAAGACUAAGCAACCAUUGAUUACAAGACCAAAGUCCCAGGGCAGAGAGGUACAUGUGGUACUACUCCCUCAGAGAUUGUCCCAGUACUGUUCCCCAAGCCAGAACAGCAGACCAAGGGCUUAACCAAGUUUUUAUUACGCUCCCGAGGACUUUGUAUGUCUACCGUGGAUUCUAAGAGCUGUAAAUAGCAAACGAUGUUGUUGAAAAGUCUGCUGCCUCUGAGAUAUGGAGGUGUUUGUGUCCUGGAAUGAAAGUUAGCCCGAGCUCAGCUACACAUAGGUCCGAUUGAUCUGCAGUGAGGUGGGGACGUUUGUUUGUUUUUACCACUUUCCUGGUGAGUCCAAUGGUCAGCGCGGGGUGUAUAAGCCAUUCCUGGAUUAGGAUGGACUAGGGGCAUCAUGGCAUCAAUUUCUAGGGAACUCGACUAGGAGAUGAAAAGCGGGCUAAGACAUACAGACCUGAAAUGCUUUCGGAACUCCCCCUCCCUCUACCUUCCUCCCCCUCUCCUUCCCCCUCCCCCAUCUGUCUCUCUCACACAGGGUUUCACAAAUGCUGAGCUAACAAGAGUAAGUGACCACGACAACCUACUGAACCUUCUGAUGUCUUUCAAAGUUAAUGCUGCUUCUGUCUCACCCGUCCAUGCACUCACUCGCCAAUCAGCACUGCUAUGUCUUAGAGAUACAAAAAUGAAUUAAAACCCAGCCUCUGCCCUAAGGGAAGACAUAAUCUCAGAUAUAAUGGUGUAACAUUAGAGUGUCCCCUAUCAUGAGGGAAUUAGUAGCUUUGUAAAAAGAGAAAGGGAGACCCAAGUGAUGCCCUAUGACACCUCAGAACUCCAGAAAGAGUCCCCAGAGGUAAGAAAUGGUUGGUCCCUUAACCUUGGACAUUCCAAGAUAUUAAACUUGUGAGAGGAAUGAGACUUUACUCUUUAUAAAUUAUCCAGUCUGUGGUGUUAAGAUAUAGCAACGGAUACAAACUAAAACAAGUGCGCUGGGCUUUGAUGAGUGGAUUUCAACAAGGAACAACAUGUGUACAGUUAUGCUGAGCAAGAGACUUCUGUGACCCCAGAGCCCUCUGCAGAUAGAAAGUCUUCAGCUGGGUGGAGGAAGACCGCAAUGCACUGAAGAAAGUUGAAACAAAGUUUGUCCAUGGAAACCUUGUAGCAGACCAGGAGCCCUAAAGAGCAGUAACAAGGAUGCUGAGUUUCUCUGAUUCCGGGGAAGAUCUGUGUAGCAGCUGUGUGGACACUGUUGCCAGGUAGGAGUGCCACCUUCAGAAGAGUCAUUCCUUGCCCCUUUGUGUCUCACCCUGCUUUUAGACAAAAGGAGAAGAGAGAUGAAUGAAAGAUCUCAGAGGCAGGUUCAAGAAGGACACAGACUUACAGUUGGGAGGACGGGGUGUAUUAGAAGAGUUAUUAACACCAUGGAUGGACAGACUCCUGAGGAGAGCUCAGGGCUCCAUCAUCAGUGACAGACAACAUGGGAAAGUCUCUGAAAGGAAGAAUCAUGGCCCACGUAGCAGAAGUCAGGUCAAGGGACAAAUGUCCUCUUCACUUAGCUCUCUGGAGACGAGUGAUUUCCCAUCAUAAACCUGCAAGCUCUCUGAUUCCCACGCAGGAGACCAGAAAGGAGUGAGGAACAAGAUAUGUGAUACCAAUACCUACUUUGAUAUAAACUCACCCCUAAAUCCCAGAACCUAAAAGUCUGUUCAUUAGUGAUCCACAGACAGUGGGGUAACUGUAUCCGCAAGAGGUAGGGCUGCUUCAGGCAUAGUGUGAUCUGAGCAGCAGUGUGCUAACAUAAGACACUUGGGUUGAGUAUCUCUCUCCAGCCUGCUCUCCCCAGCCAGGUAGCACUUAUUUCUCCAUACAUAGCUGAGAGAUAGGAGUUAACCACGCUCUCUACUACACUCACCCCUGCUCACACCCACAACAACAAAACAUUAUCUCAUAAUUUCCAGGGCAGUGCAAAAACCUGCCCUUGCCAAAAAUGGUCUGAUCUUCUCUCUGAUCCAUCUUGUAAACAACUGUCUGUGCAGCCAAGAACAAAACAAAAGGAGCUGCGAUGUGAACUGCAGAUGUCUGCUUCCCCUGGGGAAGGGAGCACCCUCUGGGUGAGUUCUUCCUCUCAGCUAGCUCACUUUGAUCUUUCUUUGAUGGUCACUUCUCCCAAAGGCCAGCAUGGUUCUGUCGUUGUUUUAAGUCAACCUACCCGCGCCACCCCCCCCCCCUUCUCUGCAGGAGAGGAGUAUCCCCCCCACCCCCAAGCUUGUUACUUCCAUCCACAACUAUUUCUAGGGUGCUGAAACUGUAGCUCAGUGGGAGAAUGCCUGUGCUUAGCACGUGUGCAGCUCUUGGUUUAAUCUCCAACAGUGCUAAAAAGAAAAAGAGAAUUCUAUACUUAGAUGAGGAACUAUUUUUUUUUUUUUGAUCUAUGAGAAGUGACAGACGGACAGAUACUAUGCUUGUUAGUGAGUGCCAGAGAGAAGCCAGAUUUAUUCAACCAGCUUGAUUAGUGAGUUCCCGACAGCUACUAGAACACCAAUCACGCUUCGGGGCAUCCACGUCUAUUUUUGUCAUGGUGAGCCCCCACAGAGAGUCCAGAUAAUGUUUGUUAUCUUUAUCAACACUCUCCAAAUGUUUAGACAAAUAAAGAUGUUGUUUGAAAUCC